UACGUAGGUGGCGAGCGUUGUCCGGAUUUAUUGGGUUUAAAGGGUGCGUAGGCGGCUUUGUAAGUCAGUGGUGAAAUACUCCAGCUUAACUGGAGGGGUGCCAUUGAUACUGCGGAGCUUGAGUACAGAUGAGGUAGGCGGAAUUGACGGUGUAGCGGUGAAAUGCAUAGAUAUUGUCAAGAACACCGAUAGCGAAGGCAGCUUACUGGGCUGUAACUGACGCUGAUGCACGAAGGUGUGGGGAUCAAACAGG
rnacentral:rRNA from 1 species